rnacentral:rRNA from 1 species
GACGGAGGGUGCUAGCGUUGUUCGGAAUUACUGGGCGUAAAGGGCGCGUAGGCGGCGGGUCAAGUCGAGUGUGAAAGCCCCGGGCUCAACCUGGGAAUUGCGCUCGAGACUGGUCUGCUUGAGUUCGGGAGAAGAGAGUGGAAUUCCCAGUGUAGAGGUGAAAUUCGUAGAUAUUGGGAAGAACACCGGUGGCGAAGGCGGCUCUCUGGACCGAGACUGACGCUGAGGCGCGAAAGCGUGGGGAGCAAACAGG